GUGCCAGCAGCCGCGGUAAUACGUAGGUGGCGAGCGUUGUCCGGAUUUACUGGGCGUAAAGGGCGUGCAGGCGGCCUGUUAAGUCUAGGGUGAAAGCUCCCGGCUCAACUGGGAGAGGUCCUUGGAUACUGGCGGGCUUGAGGGAGGUAGAGGAGAAUGGAAUUCCCGGUGUAGUGGUGAUAUGCGUAGAUAUCGGGAGGAACACCUGUGGCGAAGGCGGUUCUCUGGGCCUUACCUGACGCUGAGACGCGAAAGCGUGGGGAGCGAACCGGAUUAGAAACCCUUGUAGUCC
rnacentral:rRNA from 1 species